rnacentral:rRNA from 1 species
UACGUAGGGGGCUAGCGUUGUCCGGAUUUAUUGGGCGUAAAGAGCGUGUAGGCGGCCAGGUAGGUCUGGUGUGAAAACUCGAGGCUUAACCUCGAGAUGUCAUCGGAAACCAUCUGGCUAGAGUCCGGAAGAGGAGAGUGGAAUUCCUGGUGUAGCGGUGAAAUGCGCAGAUAUCAGGAAGAACACCAAUGGCGAAAGCAGCUCUCUGGGACGGUACUGACGCUGAGCCGCGAAAGCGUGGGGAGCGAUCCGG